GGGGACAUAGCUCAGUGGUAGAGCAUCUACUUUGCAAGUAGGUCAGAGAUUCAAUUCCUGACAUCUCCA